rnacentral:rRNA from 1 species
GACGAACGCUGGCGGCGUGCCUAAUACAUGCAAGUCGAGCGAAGCGGCGGAUGGGUGAGUAACGCGUGGGUAACCUGCCCUUAAGUCUGGGAUACCAUUUGGUAACAGAUGCUAAUUCCGGAUACUUAGGGAUGGGCCUGCGAUGCAUUAGCUAGUGGGUAAGGUACCGGCUUACCAAGGCGAUGAUGCAUAGCCGGUUUGAGAGACUGAUCGGCCACAUUGGGACUGAGACACGGCCCAAACUCCUACGUGAGGCAGCAGUAGGGAAUUUUCCACAAUGGAGGAAAGUCUGAUGGAGCAACGCCGCGUGAGUGAAGAAGGUUUUCGGAUCGUAAAGCUCUGUUGUUGGAGAAGCGGUAAUCAACCAGAAAGUCACGGCUAACUACGUGCCAGCAGCCGCGGUAAUAC